AUAUAUUUCAAAAGACUUCAUGGAUCACUGCAGCAGUACUGAGAGAGUCCAGCAUGUGCCUACUUCACCAUGGUUUCAUCAUGAAACCAUUGGUUUAUUUCCUCAGCAUUUUGUUGUUGUUGUUGUUGUUGUUGUUGUUGUUGUUGUGCUGAUUGGGUAGACAAGGGCUCUACCACAUAAUCAGGCAAUACUUAUUGUGGGCACUCUUUGCACCAAUCCAGAUUCUUGAGAUACUAAAAUCUUAAAAUACAUGAUCACACCUGAUCAAAGCACAAGCCUCUUUGGGUGCUCUAUUUUAAAAUAUGAAAUUUGUCUCCAUAACAUAGAGAAACAUUUCCAGUCUGGUCAGGAUGGCUAGAUUCAAAGAGAUCUGCAUGCACACCAUCUCCUCCUUUCUGCUCCCUAGAUUCACCUGCUUGUUCGCUCUCAAAAUAAAAGACCUUCAAGGAGAUCAAAGCUCACCCUGGAAAGAAACCUUUUCUUUUCAUUUUUCUCAUCUUUCCCUUCAAUUACACUGAUGAUGUCAUUAAAUGCUGAAAUCACGUCUAGGAAAAAAUAUCCCUGCCACCUACUCAAUAUUCAGUAUUAUUCCCUAGGACCUGGAGCCUUGGGCUUUUUUUUAAUGGGUGUCACAUGACCACAGAGGUACAUAUAGACUGAAGAAGUUCCUCUGUUGUGCAGAAACCAACUCUUACAAAUGGAACUUUCCUGAACCCUGCCAUCCUUGGUCCUUCCGGUGACAGCCUGUCUCCAAAGGAUUGUCCAGGGACUCUCCAAGCUCUACCUGAUGUUUGGCUGUGGGUCUCUGCAUCUGUUUCCAUCUGCUACUGGACGAAGCCGCUCAAGAGACAGUUAUGCUAGGCUCCUGUCUGCAAGCAUAGCAGACUAUCAUUAAAAGUGUUAGGGGUUGGCUCUCUCCCAUGGGAUGGGUCUCAAGUUGGGCCAGUCAUUGGUUGUCCAUUUCCUUUAUUUCUGUUCUUUUUUUUUUUUUUUUGUUUGUUUGUUUGUUUUUGUUUUUCGAGACAGGGUUUCUCUGUAUAAACCUGGAACU